UACGUAGGCGGAAUAUUAAGUCAGUGGUGAAAUCCUGCGGCUCAACCGUAGAACUGCCAUUGAUACUGAUAUUCUUGAAUGUAGUUGAGGUAGGCGGAAUGUGUAAUGUAGCGGUGAAAUGCUUAGAUAUUACACAGAACACCGAUUGCGAAGGCAGCUUACUAAACUGUUAUUGACGCUGAGGUACGAAAGCGUGGGGAGCGAACAGGAUUAGAUACCCUGGUAGUCC
rnacentral:rRNA from 1 species